UACAGAGGUCUCGAGCGUUAGGCGGAAUCACUGGGCUUAAAGCGUGUGUAGGUGGAUCGUUAAGUACCUUGUGAAAUCCCACGGCUUAACCGUGGAACUGCUUGGUAUACUGGCGGUCUUGAGCCACUUAGGGGCUACCGGAACAAAUGGUGGAGCGGUGAAAUGCGUAGAGAUCGGGAGGAACACCAGAGGCGAAGGCGGCGACCUGGACAAGUACUGACACUCAACUACGAAAGCGUGGGGAGCAAACAGG
rnacentral:rRNA from 1 species